rnacentral:rRNA from 1 species
AGCAGCCGCGGUAAUUCCAGCUCCAAUAGCGUAUAUUAAAGUUGUUGCAGUUAAAAAGCUCGUAGUUGAAUUUUAGGCUUGACCGGGCGGUCCGUCUCUGGCGAGUACUGUCCUGUUGUCGGGUCUAUCCUUCUGGUGAGCCGGUAUGUCCUUAAUUGGGUGUGUCGGGGAACCAGGACCAUUACCUUGAAAAAAUUAGAGUGUUUAAAGCGGGCUUUUGCUUGAAUAGAUUAGCAUGGAAUAAUAGAAUAGGACGUUGGUUCUAUUUUGUUGGUCUAGGACCACCGUAAUGAUUAAUAGGGAUAGUUGGGGGCAUUAGUAUUCAAUUGUCAGAGGUGAAAUUCUUGGAUUUAUUGAAGACUAACUACUGCGAAAGCAUUUGCCAAGGAUGUUUUCAUUAAUCAAGAACGAAAGUUAGGGGAUCGAAGACGAUCAGAUACCGUCGUAGUCUUAACCAUAAACUAUGCCGACUAGGAAUCGGGCGACGUUACUUUCAUGACUCGCUCGGCGCCUUAUGGGA